rnacentral:rRNA from 1 species
UACAGAGGUCUCAAGCGUUGUUCGGAUUCAUUGGGCGUAAAGGGUGCGUAGGUGGCGCUGUAAGUCGGGUGUGAAAUUUCGGAGCUUAACUCCGAAACUGCAUUCGAUACUGCGGUGCUUGAGGACUGGAGAGGAGACUGGAAUUCAUGGUGUAGCAGUGAAAUGCGUAGAGAUCAUGAGGAAGACCAGUGGCGAAGGCGGGUCUCUGGACAGUAACUGACGCUGAGGAGCGAAAGCGUGGGGAGCGAACAGG